CCUACGGGAGGCUGCAGUGGGGAAUAUUGGACAAUGGGGGCAACCCUGAUCCAGCCAUGCCGCGUGUGUGAAGAAGGCCCUCGGGUUGUAAAGCACUUUCAGUGAGGAAGAACGCCUGGUGGUUAAUACCCAUCAGGAAAGACAUCACUCACAGAAGAAGCACCGGCUAACUCCGUGCCAGCAGCCGCGGUAAUACGGAGGGUGCGUGCGUUAAUCGGAAUUACUGGGCGUAAAGCGCGCGUAGGUGGCUUGAUAAGCCGGUUGUGAAAGCCCCGGGCUCAACCUGGGAACGGCAUCCGGAACUGUCAAGCUAGAGUGCAGGAGAGGAAGGUAGAAUUCCCGGUGUAGCGGUGAAAUGCGUAGAGAUCGGGAGGAAUACCAGUGGCGAAGGCGGCCUUCUGGACUGACACUGACACUGAGGUGCGAAAGCGUGGGUAGCAAACAGGAUUAGAUACCCCGGUAGUC
rnacentral:rRNA from 1 species